GAGUUUGAUUAUGGCUCAGGAUGAACGCUGGCGGCGUGCUUAACACAUGCAAGUCGAACGGGCGAAUUAUAUCGGAGGUCUUCGGGCCAAAGAGAUAAUAAGCUAGUGGCGGACGGGUGCGUAACGUGUGGGUAAUCUGCCUUUGUCAUAGGAAUAACUGCUUGAAAAAGUAGCUAAUACCAAAUAACAUAUCGUAUAGGCAUCUAUAAGAUAUCAAAGAGAAAUCGGACAAAGAUGAGCCCGCAUCUGAUUAGCUGGUUGGUAGGGUAAAAGCCUACCAAGGCGACGAUCAGUAGCCGGCCUGAGAGGGUGAACGGUCACAUUGGAACUGAGACACGGUCCAAACUCCUACGGGAGGCAGCAGUGGGGAAUAUUGCACAAUGGGGGGAACCCUGAUGCAGCAAACGCCGCGUGAGUGAAGAAGGCUUUCGAGUCGUAAAAACUCUGUUGUAAAGGGAAGAUAAUGANCGUCCUAAAGAGCC
rnacentral:rRNA from 1 species